AAAAGGAGGCCGAGAGGCCCUUCCAAACCCGUACGAACCCAUCCACGUUGCCUCGGCGGCCGCCCGGCCCUCCCGGAUCCCCGGGUGGGGCCGGACCGCCGGGGGUACCGAACACCCUACCUCUCCUAGCGGAGUCAGUCGUCUCUGAGUACACGAGAAACUAGUCA
rnacentral:misc_RNA from 1 species